AUACGGAGGAUCCGAGCGUUAUCCGGAUUUAUUGGGUUUAAAGGGUGCGUAGGCGGCCUUUUAAGUCAGCGGUGAAAGUCUGUGGCUCAACCAUAGAAUUGCCGUUGAAACUGGGGGGCUUGAGUAUGUUUGAGGCAGGCGGAAUGCGUGGUGUAGCGGUGAAAUGCAUAGAUAUCACGCAGAACCCCGAUUGCGAAGGCAGCCCGCCAAGCCAUGACUGACGCUGAUGCACGAAAGCGUGGGGAUCAAACAGGAUUAGAUACCCUGGUAGUCCACGCAGUAAACGAUGAUCACUAGCUGUUUGCGAUACACUGUAAGCGGCACAGCGAAAGCGUUAAGUGAUCCACCUGGGGAGUACGCCGGCAACGGUGAAACUCAAAGGAAUUGACGGG
rnacentral:rRNA from 1 species